rnacentral:misc_RNA from 1 species
GAGUGAUGUCCGACGCGUUGAACUUUUCCGCAUCCGGAACGUCCGGAACAGACGUGGUUUGGGGCCGUGUAGGAGGCAAUCAUUGUGAACAUUGUGAAGAAUUGGAACUCGAUCAUCAUGAACAUGCCAGGUGACAGUGCACUGGUUUUAUUUGUAAAGGAAAACCCGUGCUUGUGGCAGCCCAAACACAAGGACUAUUUCAAUAAAACUAAAGCCAGAGCAUUAUGGGAGCGGUGCGCAGCUACUACUGGCCGUGAAGGAAAUGAGGCGAAGAAGAGAUGGCGCAACUUACGGGACUACUAUACAAAGAGACGAAAACAGCAACCGAGCGGAUCCGCGGGAGCGGUACCGCAGGACAUGCCCUCUUGGAUGAGAGAGAUGGGGUUCCUGGACGACGCCGGUAACCCCAAACCUCAUUCGACUGGGAGGAUCAGUUGGAGAUGAGCGAGACGCAGUCAUUGUUCGGCGACGAUCAGGCUCAGUCCGACGACAGGUCAGUGAUGUCUGGUGGCACGGCGCCGCCGUUGCCGCCGGCCUCGCGGCGCAGGUCGACGCCGGUCGGCAGCGCGUCCGGGUCCGCCACUGCCACCCCGUCAGCCGCCCAGCCAGCCGCCCAGCCAGCCGCCCAGCCAGCCACCACUCGCGUGAGCGGGGCCAAGCGGCCCAAGACUGGGGAUAAACUAGGGAGGGUUGACGACGCACUUCAGAAUUUAGAAAACGCUUUCGCUAUUCUGUCCAACCCUAACUUGUCGUUCGGCCAAUGGGUUGGUGCAGAAAUGGAAGGUGUGCCGGAGCAUCGUGUGUUUGCUCUAAAAAUAGAAAUAAUGACCGCUAUCAUGAAGGCCAAGGAGGAGUGAGACAAAGCCCGUGUCAUACAGGGUGGGCCAAAAAAUUGUGUCACUUUUCAGCAAUAACCUCUCGAAAAUGAUAAAAGAUACGAAGAAGAAACUCACAACUUUAAGAAAAUGGUUUAAAAAUUAUACGACAGCCAUUUUAUGGACAAGUUUUAAUCGAACUGAUGUUGCCAUAAUCAUUGUGUCUCUGUGUGUCUUUUAUUCGUGUAUGUGCUCAAAGUGGGAACCUCCACGCUGAAGGCACAUCUGAACGUGCUCCAGGAAGCUGGCGCCCACCCGCUCCGCGGUAUCUGUUGGCACUUCCUGGCAGCUUCCUGGAGCACGUUCAGAUGUGCCUUCAGCGUGGAGGUUCCCACUUUGAGCACAUACACGAAUAAAAGACACAUCCUUUUUAAAUGAUGGUGGCAACAUCAGUUCCAUUGGAACUUGUCCAUGAAAUGGGCAUCAUAUAAUUUGUCAAACGAUUUUCUUUAAGUUGUGAAAGUUUCUUCUUCAUAUUUUUUACCACUUUCGAGAAAUUACUGCUGAAAAGUUA